ACCGAAGCCUCACAGUUGACAACACAUUUGACUACACUGAUUAAACUGAAGACACGGGCAGGUCAAGCUUUCUUUUGCAAACAUGGGUGCCAUCACCUGUCUGCAAAGACACUGAUGUCAUGUGAAUGUGUAGUGGAACAAACAUCCCAGCUUUGCUCCCUUUUUGCAGCAGAUCAAGAGCAACCUGCUACAAGGACAGAAGUUGAAGACACGGUCGUUGAGGAGAUGGAAGUCUCUGAGGCCAACAGCACUGGCACCAGCAAUGGAGAUGAGAUGAAAGAUCAUGCAAAGGGCUCAGAAGAACCUGAUUCAAUUUCGACUGACAGCAUUCAGCCCAAAGAUACUGUUGAGAAGAAGGAAUGACCAGCUGAGGGAAGGACAAUCAACCUCAUCUGACAGCCAACAAACUGUGCGAAGGCCAACCACACUGGUGUCAGACUGGCCCAUGUCAGUGUGGGCCCUGACACUGAUCCAGGACAACCAGUUACUCACAAGAUGCUCACACUCCCUACUUUAUUUAGACUCUCCCCUAUUUGUUAAGAAAUUACCCAUCCCUGAAGUAUAUAUGUACUGUAUGUAUAUGUAUGUAUGUAUGUAAGUAUGUAUGUACAAAACCUUACUAUAGGACUUGAACAUAUCAGUCAGCAAAGAUGAGCCAUACCUCACUGCGUGUUAGAGUCAUCCAUCAUUUUGCCAUUUGGGUGCGAUAAGAUAAACCAGGUUCAAGUCUCUUUAUUUGAUCUCUACCCACUGUGAGAGCAUGUUGAAGCUGUCAGAGGACGGCAGCCAUGGCUCCUACAUGUUGACGCUACCCAUUGGGUGAUGCUUAACAUCAACCAUCCUUCUGUUCUUACAACUCAAAUACCGCCGCCAGCAUCCGACAGCAGAAUUACCCAACAAAAUCCUCCAUUUCUAAGCCUCUGUGGAGUGCAGCUCACUGACACUUUUCAUGUCUCCCCGCACACUACUGCAGGUCGAGCUCCAUUGUUUAGUCAAAUCAACCAAUACCUUGAUUUCAGACCAUAGUCUGUAGGGCGGUGUGCCACUCCCAGGCCUUUCAUCUGCAGACAUCACUGAUAAUGUCUUAGCUCCCCCACUGCUGUAACGGCAGCUUAACUCAUUUUACCAGGAAAUUGUUCAUCAACAAAAAGGAUGUGAGUGUCUUAACAAAUCGAUUACUACCCGUCCCCCCUCCCAUCACCUUUUUUGCAGUUUCCAGUGCAUGCCAGAAAAUUGCUUUGAACCUCACCAACAAAAACAGGAGUUAGAGUUCUCUUCGCUUUCGCUCGUCUUACCAGAUUGUCUAUAAUUGUAUCAAAAGAAUCUGCCUUAUUUCAUAUCAAACUUCAAAGUCAAUCACAGACCUAAGGAGGUGGUCCAAGUAUGAAUUAUUGGUUCUGUAUUACUUGCGGAUGAUUUGUAAUUUUAAAUACAUUACGUAAUGGCUAAUACCUGUUACUGGUUUCUUGGUUUUUCCUCAGUUGAUUUAAAAAAAAAAGGCUUUGGUUUCUUUGUUGGUAUGAUUCAUGAAUUAUUUUCAGUGGUGCCAUACUUCAAAAUCAGAUGAAUUAAAGUUCUAUGAAAUGAUGCCUUCAUAUUUUGAUGUUUGCUUUGCUAAACUAUAACAGAAACAACAAAUAAAGUUUAAGGUGGAAGCCAUGUCUCAGCUUUUAAUGUACC
rnacentral:lncRNA from 1 species